AUUGAACGCUGGCGGCAUGCCUUACACAUGCAAGUCGAACGGCAGCGGGGGAGAAGCUUGCUUUUCCUGCCGGCGAGUGGCGAACGGGUGAGUAAUACAUCGGAACGUGCCCUGUAGUGGGGGAUAACUAGUCGAAAGAUUAGCUAAUACCGCAUACGACCUGAGGGUGAAAGUGGGGGACCGUAAGGCCUCAUGCUAUAGUAGCGGCCGAUGUCUGAUUAGCUAGUUGGUGGGGUAAAGGCCUACCAAGGCGACGAUCAGUAGCUGGUCUGAGAGGACGAUCAGCCACACUGGGACUGAGACACGGCCCAGACUCCUACGGGAGGCAGCAGUGGGGAAUUUUGGACAAUGGGCGAAAGCCUGAUCCAGCAAUGCCGCGUGUGUGAAGAAGGCCUUCGGGUUGUAAAGCACUUUUGUCCGGAAAGAAAUGGCUCUGGUUAAUACCUGGGGUCGAUGACGGUACCGGAAGAAUAAGGACCGGCUAACUUCGUGCCAGCAGCCGCAGUAA
rnacentral:rRNA from 1 species